UCGAACGGUAACAGGUUAAGCUGACGAGUGGCGAACGGGUGAGUAAUGCAUCGGAACGUGCCCGAUCGUGGGGGAUAACGCAGCGAAAGCUGCGCUAAUACCGCAUACGAUCUGAGGAUGAAAGCGGGGGACCGUAAGGCCUCGCGCGAUCGGAGCGGCCGAUGUCAGAUUAGGUAGUUGGUGGGGUAAAGGCUCAUCAAGCCGACGAUCUGUAGCUGGUCUGAGAGGACGACCAGCCACACUGGGACUGAGACACGGCCCAGACUCCUACGGGAGGCAGCAGUGGGGAAUUUUGGACAAUGGGCGCAAGCCUGAUCCAGCAAUGCCGCGUGCAGGAAGAAGGCCUUCGGGUUGUAAACUGCUUUUGUACGGAGCGAAAAGGUCUUUCCUAAUACGGAAGGCUGAUGACGGUACCGUAAGAAUAAGCACCGGCUAACUACGUGCCAGCAGCCGCGGUAAUACGUAGGGUGCGAGCGUUAAUCGGAAUUACUGGGCGUAAAGCGUGCGCAGGCGGUUUUGUAAGACAGGCGUGAAAUCCCCGGGCUCAACCUGGGAAUGGCGCUUGUGACUGCCAAAGCUGGAGUGCGGCAAAGGGGGAUGGAUUCCCCGUGUAGCAGUGAAAUGCGUAAAUAUGCGGAGGAACCCCGAUAAA
rnacentral:rRNA from 1 species